rnacentral:rRNA from 1 species
AACGAACGCUGGCGGCAUGCCUAACACAUGCAAGUCGAACGAGACCUUCGGGUCUAGUGGCGCACGGGUGCGUAACGCGUGGGAACCUGCCCUUAGGUUCGGAAUAACUCCCCGAAAGGGGUGCUAAUACCGGAUAAUGUCUUCGGACCAAAGAUUUAUCGCCUUUGGAUGGGCCCGCGUUGGAUUAGCUAGUUGGUAGGGUAAAAGCCUACCAAGGCGACGAUCCAGAGCUGGUCUGAGAGGAUGAUCAGCCACACUGGACUGAGACACGGCCCAGACUCCGACGGGAGGCAGCAGUGGGGAAUAUUGGACGAUGGGCGAAAGCCUGAUAAAGCAAUGCCGCGUGAGUGAUGAAGGCCUUAGGGUUGUAAAGCUCUUUUACCCGGGAUGAUAAUGACAGUACCGGGAGAAUAAGCUCCGGCUAACUACGUG